GACGAACGCUGGCGGCGUGCCUAACCCAUGCAAGUCGAACGAGCAGAGACCUUCGGGUCGAAGCGAGUGGCGGACGGGUGAGUAACGCGUGAACAACCAACCCUGCACAGGGGGACAACAGCUGGAAACGGCUGCUAAUACCGCAUAAGACCACAGAGCCGCAUGGCUUAGGGGUCAAAGGAGAAAUCCGGUGCAGGACGGGUUCGCGUCUGAUUAGCUAGUUGGUGAGGUAACGGCCUACCAAGUCGACGAUCAGUAGCCGGACUGAGAGGUUGAACGGCCACAUUGGGACUGAGACACGGCCCAGACUCCUACGGGAGGCAGCAGUGGGGAAUAUUGCACAAUGGGCGAAAGCCUGAUGCAGCAACGCCGCGUGAGGGAAGACGGUCUUCGGAUUGUAAACCUCUGUCCUUGGUGAAGACAAAUGACGGUAGCCUUGGAGGAAGCCACGGCUAACUACGUG
rnacentral:rRNA from 1 species